rnacentral:piRNA from 1 species
CACUGUACCCGGUAACGGUCGG